AGGCUUGUAGCUCAGGUGGUUAGAGCUGCACCCCUGAUAAGGGUGAGGUCGGUGGUUCAAGUCCACUCAGGCCUA
rnacentral:tRNA from 1 species